GUUAUUUAUGUCCUUCUUGAAGACCUCUGUCAUCAUCAUGAGUUGUGAUUUUAUAUCAAAAUCUUGCUUUUCCAUUAUGUUUAGAUAUCCAGUAGUUGCUGUGGUGGGAGAUGAUGCCAAGUAGCCUUGGUUUCUGUUAAUUAGGUUCCUGUGCUUGCCUCAUCUGCUAUCAAUGGAGUUACCUGGUCUUGCUGUCUCUGACAGUGUCUUGACCUUUGAAGCCUAUGUAUCAGCACUCCUGGAGACCUGCUUUCUUCCCAAGGGAUUUGGGUACAGAGAGCUGUGUCACAGGGUCAGCCCUGGGUGCAGGCAGAAACUGGAAGGAUCCUGUUCCAGACUGCUCCUUGGUUCCUGUGUCCUAACUGCUCCAGAAUAUAUUUCAAUUUCCAAUCAAGAAAACAAGCAAGUCCUUUAUCCUUUUAAGCCAUUAACAUUUUUCCUGAUUGACAGAAAAAGGAUAAUCAUGGAUGACUUGUGGCCAAAUCCUCUUUACUACUACCCUAAGGAAGACCACUCAUGAAGAGAGAAUUAGGACUGUGCCAGGUGAAUAGACAGGAUAAAAAGCAGAGCAUUUCUGACUGUAGACCAUUAAUGAAGAUGCUCAUCGUGUAAACUGGAAUUGACUGAGAUAAAUACUGGCAAAGGAUGAUGAUCUCUGCAUUCCUACCCAGGGGACUCACUUACCAUAGAACUCCCUUGCAAAUAUGGAAUUAUAGAGGAACAUGAACAGAGAAUGAUGGCCACCUGAAUCUCCCUGUCCUUGGUGACUAAAAAAGAGACUGAAGCACCCACCUCGACCAGCAAGGAAGACGCAACACCGUUGGAUUCUUCUCAACAGCUUUUAUUGCAGGAACACCUCAUUUUUAAUACAGGGGACCCUGGAGAACAAAGGCGCCUUAAGUACAAGACAGGCUGUGGCUGUAAACUUGUCCUCUAGGGAUUGGUGGAGCAUGAAAUACCUCAUUAGCAUGAAUAUCACUCCAGUCUGAUAACUGAGAAAUGCAAACACAUGCGCAUUGCAGGUGUUUAUCACCAACGACCACGACCACUGGACCACUGGACCACUGGAUGUCAGCACCAUCUUUAGCCGCUCCCUACAACAGACUUCACUCAUCAAGCAGGCGUGGAAGCUAUACCACAUAGAUAAAGACUACCAUCUUAGGAUUGCUCCGAUACACAUUCCUAAUUCCAAUGGCUCAGCCUUAGUUGUAUGUGGUACUACCCAGAACAUGAUCUAUGCAACUACAGUUGUAGAACAAGGGAACACUAUAAGAUAGAGAAAAUGAUAAUUUUGUAUCAAAAUUUUCUCUGCACAUUUCCUAAAGUUGCUCAGCUUCAAAUGCAUGCUUUGCUAUCCAUAUUCUCAACUCAUCUUUAAUUCAGUUGGAGCCCUGUUUAGGAUAUAUGCAUACACUGAACCCACAACACAAAAGAAUGAAUACAGUAAAAUUACAGCUUAGUGAAGCAAUUAGUUUUAUGGGGAUUAUUUACAGGAAUUUGGCUGUAAUAGCAUACACACACACACACACACACACACACACACACACACACACACACACACACACAUGAACCUGAAGACAUACCUGCUUGGGUUAAAGUGGGCAAAUCCACUUCUAGUUCAGACCUUUAAGGAGGAAAAACAAAGGCUUUAGAUUUGAAUCUUAUGAUGGGAAAAACACAUGGGUUGAAUUCAGAUCUUGCGGUGGGAAGACAAACACUCCUUUAAUGUGGGCCAAAUCUUCUGCUGGGAGUCUAUAUAAGAACAUGAAGAAAACUUUUGCUUUUUUCUGUUUGCCCUCACCUUGAUAGCACUUUCAUUCCGUCACUGGCAUUGGAAUCCACUUCUUCAGGAUUUCAUCAUAUACAGAAGAGACAGAUGAGACAUCCAGCAUUAUGGGACUGAACAAAUACUGGUUAUCUGCACUCUAAUUCACAUCUGACCAGUGUUAGAUUAGCUAGACUACAACGUAUAAAUCAUUCCAAUGUUGCCACCCAUUCAUUCUAUAAAUUCUGCGACUCCAGAGAUCUCUAAUGUAGGAUAUUAUAAAUAUUCAUAAACCAAGUUUAUUAAAAAUGGAAUUAGAAUGAAACCAAGCCAAUAUUAAUAAAUAAUGCUAUUGUACUACUUUAUUCCACAGACAAUCAUCUGCAGAAAACAGAUGCAUUAGAAAGAAAUGACAACUGGAAGCUCUCAGAGCCACCAAAGAGCAUAUGUGGGCUGGACUGAGGCCCCAGUACAUAUGUAGCAGUCAAACAGCUCAGUCUCUAUGUGUGUCCCCACAACAAGGCUGUCUUGUGGGACAAGAUGUGCCUAACCCUUCAGAGACUUGAUGGGAUAAGGGGGAUGGUGUACCAC
ensembl:lncRNA